rnacentral:piRNA from 1 species
GUCGGUUCACUCAGCCUUUCGUUGUG